UGGCCGGGAAGGCGCAAGGAGCAGAUGCCGCUGCGAGCUGGAGCAGCAGCGAGCUGAUGAGGAUUGACGCGAUGGGAGGUAGCACCUGAGGAAAAGCCAUGGCGCACAAACACACACGGUGCAGGUUUCAGCAGAAUGGAUCUUUUAAAGUUGAGAAGAUGGCAUUACCGGGAUCAGUAAGCCACCCAAGCGGUAGCAUAUCCAAGUCAGGCCAGGACCUUCCAUGUAAUCCCUUGGCACCAAUCAAAUUGGCAGAAGAAAAAUCCCUGGAUGGUAUCGACAAAGUUAUUUUGCCAAUAGUAGUUGAGAGAAACUCGGUGCAAUCAGUAGGAGCACUAACCAGGGAGAAUGCUACCUCGAUAUAUCGAAAUGAGAUGCAACAUCUGUCCAUUUAUCCCAAUCAUCUGCUGUUAUUCUGUACAUAUCCACAUAAGCACUGAUGCUGCCAGCCAUCGAGGGAGUCACAUUCGUACCAGGAGAGAUUGAGAACAGCACUGGUUGGUCGAGCUCUCGUAGAAGCUGCAGAAAGAACAGUUUAGCCAAGGUCAGAACAAGAAUCCUUUACCUUCCAGUAGCAGAUCAUCACAUUACAAUUCCACUCUACAAUACAGAUUUUAUGAUACCUCGGACACUGUGAUAAUCUCUUUUGAGUCUAAAUCAUCUCCAAAAACACAGUCGAGUUUCACUGCAGUCACAAUGCAGCAUUAUUUCUGAAUGGAAAAGAGAAUAAAAUGUUCAGACCAUAUUAUAUAUAA